UGAUAUAGUUUUGGCCUUCAGGGGUAACAAUAACACCCCACGGUUUAACUUUGAGCAGAGUCAAAGUGAACAAGUUGAUAUGCUUAAAAACUCAAUUCUGGCACAUUUGACUUAUUGGUUUCGGUCAAUGCUUUGUCAUGAAUGUCACCAUUCUGGAUAUAUUUUUUUACUGAUAUGCUUUAUUUUUUGCUUGGUAGAUGCAAUCAUGAGGCCAUUUUCAUUUUCACCCACAAUGGAGGGAACAUCAAUUGCUAGGGAUGGCGGAGGCUCAACUUCAUCCCGAUCUGAUAGUAGUGAUUGUGAUUCAAUCAACAAGUCCCAUUCAUCUAAUCGUAGCUUCCUAAGUCUCCGAUUCUUUAUGUCAAAGCCCAUAGAUCCUCUGUCAUUUCCAACUGAAACAACACAUAGUAGAGAAGCUAUUGAGAGCCCCUCAGCUGGGUUUUUAGAAAUUGACGCCUAAACCCCACAAAGAGAUAAACACCGCUUAAGCAGUGCUAGUGGCAGUCUUGACUUGACGGAGGCUUCCGAGUCUUUCCAAUCUGACCUCCUUAGUAAACCUUGUAACCCUUCUGAUGGUUUCCGAUGUGGGUUUUGCGAGAGGUUUCUUUCACAAAGAUCGCCUUGGAGUGUCCGACGAAUUGUGAGAAGUGGAGAUAUGCCAGUUGCUGGGGUCCUUUCAUGCCGCCAUGUAUUUCAUGCUAAGUGUUUGGAGCAAGCUACACCAAAAUCAUGUAAAAGUGAUCCUCCUUGCCCAAUCUGUGCCAAGCUUGGAGAGGGUAGUUCUCCAGAGCAGCGAGUUUUAUCCAAGUUCUUUCUUAGGCUUAAAACAUUCAGUGAAGAAGGACCAUCCAAGCCUUGGGGCUGUGCUCAUUCUGGAGAUUGCGUCGGAGGGGCUUUGCACACACCAUCUCGUGGCACUAUGCUCGCACUAAACAAGAGCCGAAUAAGGAAAAAUCUUUCUUUGAAGGGUAAUUCAGGCAAGGAAUUUCCAGUGAAAUUAAGAAAAACUAAUACAUUUUCGUCACAUACAGCUAUUUAUUGGAUUAGUUGAUCAUGCAAUGGUGGGAUCAGGGAUCUUGAAAAGCAUCAGCAGGUUCCGGGUUGAAGUAGCAACUGAAUUUUGUAUAUAAUUAUUGUUCCUGUUUAUUGACUUGAAUCUUUAGUGGCUUAAUCAUGUUUAUAAAAUGUAAUGUAGUGGAAGUUGUGUUUGUUUGCACUUUAAAAGCCUCAAACAAAUUGCAUUUUUUGUGUAAGUUUAAAAUUGAUCUUUGAUCAUUGAACCCAUUA